ACCCCAUGCAUUCAGUUUCAGAACUUGAAACUAAUUAACCUGUGGAAACUAACCUGACUAGUAGCUUCUCUGGCUUCCAGUUUACAACUUCUAGGAUAUCAAUCAUUCAUUCUCAAGUUGCUGCUGGCAGCUACAAGUUGCCUUUUUCUGGAAUUUUCAUGUUCUUUUUUUGUGUGUAUAUGCCUUCCUCUUCGAUUUCGAGCUUGUGAUUGAGGUCAAUUGAUGGUGGUGGUUGUGCGAUGCAGAUGUUCGGGAUGGUGGAGAAGGAGAUGGAGUACCGGGUCGAGCUUUUCAACCGGCAAAUUUGGGGCUGAGGAAAGAAGACGAGGAGCAACUUCUCUCUGGUCUGGUCGUUGGAACUUCAGGACAAGGUGAAGGUUUUCAAAUGUUGAAGGAGGAGGACAAUAGGAACUUGUGUGAUGUCUUGUCAUCUAUUUUCUUUUCUUUGUUGUAGAAUAGUUCUGUUUGGCACUUACUGGUUGGAUGUAAAGAUAUGUACUGCUAGAAUGAAUGCAUGUAAAGAUAUUUUGGGCUCCUAUAAUAUUUCAUGUUGCUUUGAAAAUGUAUCGGAACUGGGCUAGGCCCAAGA